AUUUUCUAUUUUUUUUCAAUACAAAUCAAUUUAGAAUUUUCGAUUGAUUAGGUAAUCCUUUAGAUGUAUAUAAAUGUCUAGAGAAAAUUUUGAUUGUUUCGAUUGUGACAAUUAAUUUUGUUCUUUGGUUUUUUAAUCAACCGUUUUGUGACUUGAUGAUUUUUAGUUGUUUGUUUUAUUUUUCUUCUUCUAUAAUUUUUUUUUGUUCUCUGGUUCAACAAUUAAGGAAUUGGAGACAAUGAUUUCCACCAGAAACUCUGCCAAUGGAAACAAUGGAGAUUUAAUUUUACUUUUAAUUGUUGUUGAUUGUCUUCACAAAUUGUCACAUAGUUUUAAAUUGUUUCAUCUCUCUCAUUGUACAAACCAUUCUCAUUUAAGUGUGGAUAUGGAAAAGAAAUUGGAUAAAAUUAAUCUAUUAUGUAACAAAAGGGGUUUUUCUUUGAGGCCUAACUUUUUCCUAAAGGGAAACAUUAGUAACCUGCUGAGCUUUUUUUUUCGGGUAAUGUAUGAAUAUAUUGUAUUAUCACUAACAUAAGCUUGUUUAGUCACAUAAUUUAUUAUUAAGAAACUAAAGAAAUUAUGAAGAAAAGGAAAAUAUCUAGUUAAUAUCAUUAACUUUAAUGAACUUCUACUACCUGCUGAAUAUUAAGAUGAUAUGAUAAAAAUAACGAGCAAUUGUUUUUGGUGAACAAGUUAAAUUAUUCUCGGUGAACACAGAAAGUCAACAAAUACAAAGUUAAAUUUAGAAGAAAAUUUAAAUGAUAAACUACCAUCACCACCACCAUUGGAAUAGGAAUGAUUCCUCCGCCUUCUUAACCUUCCUCCUUCUCUAACUUUUCCAACUUAUCUUUUUGGUUCCAUCAUCAGGGUGAUCAUCAUCAUCAUCAUGAACAUCAUCACCAUUUUACUUAUCAUUAUCAUCACCAUGAUCAUCAACCCAUAAAGACAGAAGCAAAAAUGAAAAGAAAACAACUUUAACUAAUACCUCAUUCUACCUUUUAUUGCACUGAGGUUUCUUUUCCCAUUCUCUCAAUGGUAACAAUGGUAAACCUUUUCUCCAUGGAAUUGGAACAAUAUAUUACUACUGAAUAUUUUCACUCUCUCUCUGACUUUCAACGAAAUCAAGCAAUUGCAACCAUUUAAUUCAUUUCUAUAAAAGUGUUAACCUUUAAUCAAAAAUGGAGGAAAAAAGUGGCAAGCCCUUAAUUUGAUUAAAUUUGACAAAGGAAGAGCAUCAAUUGGAAACCAACAGUGGAAAAAUGUAUCCUCUAACAAUAACCACUUUCUAUCCACUCUCAACAUCCUUAAUCAUCAUCAUCAUGGUAAAAACAAUAUGAAGAUUAAAAAGUAACUAAUGGAAUGAAAUUAAUGAAAAAAAGCUAUACUAACGAGAUGACAAUAAGGAUUAAACGUUAUUAGCUGUUAUUAUUAUCAUCAUUAUGGAUUUGCUACUAAUACUAAACUCUUAGUGUGUUCACCUUUAUAUUAUUAAAUUAAAUUAGCUGAUAUAAUAAUUAUCAAUAUCAUGUAAUUUAAUGAAGCAACAAGGGACUACCACCAGCAUCUUUAGACUCACAUAAUCUUUACAAAGUGUAUACAUUAAUCGUCACCAUCAUCAUCAUCAACAUCAUUAUCUUCAUCAUCACUUUUCAUCCAUCAACCAUGAUGAAUACACUGUUACUCUCUAUCUCUCUCUCUCGCUCUCUCUCAUUCAUCUCCAUCUUCUCUCAUCGCCCUUAAGCCAUAUUUGAACAAUGUUGGAUACGAAUCCAAUUACUAAAGUAUGACGCUAAUUGGAUAUACGAGGUAUAUAUUUUCAUAUCAUAUGGAAUUGGAUGAAAGAGAAAAUAAAGAAACUAUUGUGGAAAGUUUCAUCUUUUCAUCUUCUUACUUCUUGAAACAGGAAGACAAGGAGAAAAAAAAAGAUGACAAAGAUGAUAAAGCUAAAAACUUUAUCAUGAUAGCCUGAAGGAAGCCAUAAUUGAUCUGCUUGGAGGGAAAAUGAUUCUCAUUGUCAACAUUGGAAAAACAAAUACAUUAACCCAUAUAUUCAAAUGUUUCAUUCAAGUAAAAAGAAGAUGCCUUUUACUUA